rnacentral:tRNA from 1 species
GGAGAGCUGGCAGAGUGGUCGAUUGCGGCGGUCUUGAAAACCGUUAGGGGUUAACAGCCCCUCGGGGGUUCGAAUCCCUCGCUCUCCGCCA